UACGUAGGGGGCAAGCGUUGUCCGGAAUCAUUGGGCGUAAAGCGCGUGUAGGCGGCUCAGUAAGUCCGCUCUGAAAGCCCGGGGCUCAACCCCGGGAGGCGGGUGGAUACUGCUGAGCUUGAGUCCGGAAGAGGCGAGUGGAAUUCCUGGUGUAGCGGUGAAAUGCGCAGAUAUCAGGAGGAACACCAAUGGCGAAGGCAGCUCGCUGGGACGUGACUGACGCUGAGACG
rnacentral:rRNA from 1 species